rnacentral:lncRNA from 1 species
CUGUCCAGGAUUUUGUGCAGUUUGGCAAGUACUUUCUUUUGCCAUGUAGCUCCAUGUGCUUUCCCAGCCAGCUGGUUCUCUCUCUGGAGUUGUAGUGAUCAUCAUUUGUGAUUAAAACAACAUGAAGAUCUCCACUAUGGAAAUGUCACUGAGCAAACCUUACAGGACUAUUUUGCUUCCUGGUGCUUAUGUAAAGGAAAAGGCAGAACUAUAUAAACUUGGACUUCCAAUUUCCAUUGAAGAACACUCUUAAGCUAUGGGUAGGAAUCCCAUCUCCCAGAUCCAGAGCUGAAUUUCAUAUCCAGGUAUCUGAUCUGAUCUAUAGUGGUACAUAAAGCUGAUUACAUUAAAGGAAAUCAGAAAACCAAGGUGCUGAAAACACAAGUGAAAGGUCAUACAACUAAGUCCUAG